UCCCUGGUGGCUCAGCUGGUAAAGAGCCCGCCUGCAAUGCGGGAGACCUGGGUUCCAUCCCUGGGUUGGGAA
rnacentral:tRNA from 1 species